rnacentral:rRNA from 1 species
AUUGAACGCUGGCGGCAGGCCUAACACAUGCAAGUCGGGCGAGCGGCGGACGGGUGAGUAAUGUAUGGGGAUCUGCCUGAUGGCGGGGGAAAACUACGGGAAACGGUAGCUAAUACCGUAUACCAUCAGAUGAACCCAUAUGGGAUUCGCUAGUAGGUGGGGUAACGGCUUACCUAGGCGACGAUCCCUAGCUGGUCUGAGAGGAUGAUCAGCAACAUUGGGACUGAGAUACGGCCCAGACUCCUACGGGAGGCAGCAGUGGGGGAUAUUGCACAAUGGGUGAAAGCCUGAUGCAGCGACGCCGCGUGGGGGAUGAAGUCUUUGGGGUUGUAAACCUCUUUCGCUAUCGAACGGGUAGGUGGAGAAGAAGCGCCGGCUAACUACGUGCCAGCAGCCGCGGUAAUUC